GGAGGCAACUAAUCGAUGUGUCUCACAUCGAUGUUUCUCUCAAAAUCAAUGGGAAAAGUAUCCUCACUCCUUGGGUGAUUAAAAAAGAACACAACAACAAAAAACAACUGAGUACCACUGAACACCCCAAAUCAUCCCCACAGACUGCUUGCCGCCCUCGGACAGCACCUCACUGCACAGGGAGAGAGAGUCGGGACAGAUCUCAGGGUUUCAUUUCCCCAAGAGACCAGGAGCCUGAGCUUGCAGCCUCCUUCGAGGCUGAACACAGUCCAGGCCGGAGGCAGGGAGGAAUGCAAUGACCCCAUUCAGUCUCUCCCAGUAUGGAAAAAUCCUUGAGAAAUAAUGCUGGCAUUCUGUGCGCUUUUCCAGGGAGAAUGAACGUGUGGGUAUGUGUGAAUUCGGGGCUGUCCGUAAAACAGAGGCCGCAUUUACGUCCACAGGAGGACAGGACAGCCGUGUGGAAAGGGCAGUCUGUAUGGCUUGAGCUCUUGGGCUCUGGAGACAAAUGGAACAGGACUCAAAUCCCACCUCCACCAGGCCUGGUCCUCCUCCAGAUGCCAGAACCUCCUGAACUGUGGCCACUAGCGGCCUACCUUCGAGCAACACCGCGUUGUCCUAGGAUGGCCUUCUCCAGCCUGAGAGAAGUCCCUCUCCUGGUUCCCCAGGCCUCAUCUGGGGUGGGCCUUCCAAGAGCUGGCCUCCAUCCACCGCCGCCUCCUCCAGGAAGCCCUCCCAGCCUGGCUGUACCUCACGAGCCCCCAUCGCUCAGCCUGUGUGCACUUUAUUUGCUCUCUACUGAUCUGAACUCAUAAGGAACGCCCUGUGAGCAUCUUA